CUGGAGAACUGAGGGGGGCUGCUCCUAGUACGAGAGGACCGGAGUGGACGCAUCACUGGUGUUCGGGUUGUCAUGCCAAUGGCACUGCCCGGUAGCUAAAUGCGGAAGAGAUAAGUGCUGAAAGCAUCUAAGCACGAAACUUGCCCCGAGAUGAGUUCUCCCUGACUCCCUGAGAGUCCUGAAGGAACGUUGAAGACGACGACGUUGAUAGGCCGGGUGUGUAAGCGCAGCGAUGCGUUGAGCUAACCGGUACUAAUGAACCGUGAGGCUUAACCUUACAACGCCGAAG
rnacentral:rRNA from 1 species